GUUCUUAAGAGAAGCAGGGGAGCUUAAACGGAGCUGAACGCUGACCUUAGCACGAAAGUUUGGGGUUAAGAUGGCAGAGAGCUGGGCAGGCUGACAUGAUGUUCUGGUUCUGUUGAGGUAGCAGAGGUCUGUCUGUCUGUCUGCCUUUUCCUCCACUUUUCCUAAUUUUGCUUUCAUAGACCCAGGAGUCUUGUCUCAAAGCUGCCACUUGGGAAAGGAUAGAGAGAUGGGACGCCUUUUGCUGUUUUGGCUUUCUAGAGACCCUACAGCACCAGGCGAGGAAGGUACCUUGUGACCUGCCUCCAGAAAUGAGGCUAUCCAGGCCAGGAGAACAUGCUGGACAGGGGAUCACAGCCCGUGCUCCACACCACGACAGGCUGGACUUCCAUUCAAAGGCACCAGAUGGCAGAGACCCGACCCUCCCCCCGAGGUAACAAAGUCACAAGGACCAGCCACUUGGGAUCCCAGAAGAGACAAAAUCCAGAAACCCUGCAGACAGUCUAAUUCCAGAUCACAUGGACACAGGUUUCUCCACUGGGACCUCUGAAGGAGAAAAGGGGCUUUCAUCUUUGAAGCAGUGGGUCACCUUUCUUAAAGACGUCUGUCAUAAACAGCAAGCCCUCCCAAGGAGCUCCCGUCUGAAAGCCCCACUGGGCCUACAGAUUUGGGACUGACAACCUCUCAGCUCGUGCUCCCCUGGUCUCCCUCGGACUUCUCUCCAGGUGACUACCCACACCAUGUGUCCAGCCUCACAAUGGCAUGUGCCCAGGCCAGAGAGCACAGCGUGAAUCCUCGGGUCCUGUGGCCCACACUUUUAUCCAGCCUGGCUCAGUGGCCAUACUCCUCUUUCCUUCCACAGGCUCUGAGGACUGCUGAUUCCAACUGAGAGUUUUCUCAAGGAUCGAAAGCUCUGCUGGCCUUCCUGAGGUUGGAACUUGGCAUUAGCGUGAAUCUCAGACGUGGGCAGGCAGGACAGCUGGGGAAGCCGGGGCAGACGUGGUCCCUGCUGAAAUGUUUCCACUGCCCUCGCUCAGUGGCUUGUGCUUUCUUUCCUGCCUUGGUUUCCCAGGACUUCAGCUGGGUCAAGCUCUCCUCCUUUUACCAUCACAGAGGUAGGAAGCCUUUGGUGUUCUGAUCCUUUCGAGUCCCCUCAGCGCUAAGGUGAGCCAGGCGGGGAGGGUGCCUGCGUCAUCACCAGGCAGGACGAGACUUGAGGGGCAGCAGUUCUCAGCACAUCUGAGGGAAGGUAGGCAGGGAACUGCUCCAGUGUACACUCCAGACCGUUCUCAGAGAGGCCAUUGUGUCUGAGAUGGGGCCUCACCAUCUGCACUUUCAGCUGCGUCUCACAGAAGCUCGGCAACAUCCUGUCAGCCUCAUUUGGGGAAGCAGACUUAGAAUCAUCCCCACAAUAUUCCAGCAAAGACCUGACACCAGAGACAAAAAAGCAAAAAACAAAACAAAGCAAAACCAAAAAACCUCUCCAGUUACCUGAUGGGCUAAUGGUGUCUUACUUCCUGUGUUCUCAUGCUUUGCCGUCUGGGUCUUGCUGACAAUGGAGGACAGCUCCUGUCUCAUCCUGCUACCCACCUGUCGCAUGCCAGCUGUUGCUCACCUGUCCUUAUCAGCCAGCACGGGGACCCAACCAGCAGGAAGUGCCCUGUGCCUGGAGCCCUGAGCAUAUCCAACCAUCCUGUCACUGCCCCAACCUACCCGGCACACUCAGCGACAGCUCUUCAAGGACUUCCCCCUCUUCCCAGAGGACAAGCGUGACAAUGAAACGUGUGGGACUUAAGUGUUGGAACCGUGCCUGGUUCCCAGAGAGGAUUAGGUCAGUAUCUAUUAUUAUCCUCGUUUCACUAAUGGGGAGACAGAGGCAGACGCAGGAUUAAGUUGCUUGCCAGCAUCCCCGGCUCCCACCGAGCUGGACGGAUGCCACCUUCCAGCCCCAGAGCUCACAUUUUAGUACACCAGAGAACGGCACUGGGAUUGCAUUUAAUCACACGUAUCGUUAGUUUCCUUUGACUUUCCUAGAGUAAGACCCGCCACAGCGGACACUUGUUAGAAGAAUGAAGUAGGUUUUGUUACAGUCAAGUGGGUUGGCUCGAGGCUGGAAUGCCGCAGCCCUCCUGUGCCCUGAGCAGUGAAGAGUGGUGAGGCUGGUGGAGUGUAGGCCGUGGGUCCAUGCCAGUGUGCAAAGCUCCAUGACGGAAUGAGCCCUGACCUCGUGGGGUGCCAGCUUGACCGUGCUGUGCAGGACCGGCCCAUCAGGCAGGGCCUGGAGCCUGUAACCUCUGGCACGGAGCUCUGUGGUCAACACAAAGACAAAUGAAGAAGGUCCCCAGGCUCCCAGGGGAAUUGACAGCAUCCGGUGGGCGAGUGAGAACACACAGAGGCCAGAGGAGAGGGCGGGGACUGCUAGGCACUUCCCUCCCUUUCCUAAGACUGAGUUCAUCAGAAAUGGAAUUUCUCUUUCCUCCGCUUUUCCCUCGUAACUCAAGCGUCUCAGUGGGUUUAUUUUAAGACGAAGCGUGCCUGGCACAUCUCAGCUUCCAAAACACCUGCUCUCCCUGAAGAUGCCAGGCAUGUGGGCAGUGACUGGAAGGCACAGAUCGCUGACUCCGUCUCAGAGCAGCAUCUACGGCUGCAGCUCAGCCUCACGCUUGCUCUCCUCCCUGCAGAAACCCCAAGGACCCUCCGGGUCCACACUCCUGAGUGCCCUAGUCUGGAAUCUGGUUAUCUUACAAUUGUCCAGCUCAGGCAGGAGAGACCUGGAAGCUGGUGGCCAUUCUGCUUCUCUUCAAUAACAUUAAAAUAACAUUUCGCUAGUCGCUAAUCUCCUCCAGUCUGAUACUAGGUGGGCGAGGGCUUUGUGCCUUGCUAACUCGCAACCGUAUUUCUCCCACUGUUUUCCCUGGGUCACGAAUCCCAAAGAGGGUUGUAAAGCUUGUGCACAUGUUUGAGGAUGAUGGCUAUAAGCAACACACCUGUAAUUCGGCCACAUAAUUGGCCGGCUUGUCUUCAUCAAGACUGUGAUAAAUGUCUCCCAAACCA